rnacentral:sRNA from 1 species
UAUUCGUCCUUGCCUU